AGAGUCAACUCCAGGUCAUCGUGAAUCACAGUACAAACUACUGUGUACACUUUUUGUAAGGAAUCGUGCAUUGUGUGUACGAGUCCUUU
rnacentral:sRNA from 1 species